rnacentral:misc_RNA from 1 species
CAGAGAUAUGCCCUCCGGGGCAGACCUCCCACCCUGUAUAAUUUACUCUUGUUGCUUUGGCAGGCCGCCUUCGGGCCCCCGGCUCUUCGCUGGGGAGCGCUUGCCAGAGGACCCCAAUUCUUGUGUUUAGUGUCGUCUGAGUACUAUAUAAUAAGUUA